CGGCCGGCCGGGCCCCUCGGGGCCGGGGAACGGCGGGCGGCCCGGGCGACGACCCAAGGGGACGGCUCCCGGCGGCUAAGAGGCUCCAGGGUCAGAGGUCUGCACGCCCGUCCCGAGGAGGGGGCCGCUCUCCCCCAGCUCCCGGCAGCUGCGAGUGAGGCUGAACAGCCGAGCGCCCCCACUUCAUCCCCUAGGCGGCCCCGCCCCCGGCUUCCCCUUCGCCCCGGCCACGCCCCCUCCGAGCGCGGGGCCUUGUGGGAGUUGUGGUCUCGCGCGGCCGCGAGGGGGCCUCCUGCCGGAAGGCGGGGCAGGGGGCCGCGAGAACCCGGGAACUACAACUGCGGAGGCCGCUCCGCCUCCCCGGGGCCUUGGGCUCCACGGCGGCCAAUGAGGCAGGACCACGAGGGCCUCCAAAACAAGAGGAGGUGGCGCGGGGAGCGCUCCUCCCGGCCCGCCGCCGUCUCCGCUCCCCCUUCCCCGGGCGGUUGCUCCUGGAAACCGGGGAGAGAGGGGGCCGCCCCGCCCCGCCCGCCCCGCCCCGCCCUGUACGGUUGCUCCCUAACAUCGCACAGCCGCCAGGCUUCGGGAUCCGCCAGCUACCUACGCAAAUGAGGAACCAGUGGUGCAGGAUCUUCGACUUUCGAGCCGAAGCGUUUUCUUGGUUCGUUCAGUGUUCUGUGGCUUCACAUCUACUGCAAGUGCCUUAUAAGAAUCAGCCACCUCCACCUGCUACUUGGAGAGACAUCUGUCUCAGAACCAAUCCUGGAUGGGUGCCCCUAAACGUUUCCUGUGGACAGCUGGGAAGUAGCUUCAUUGGACAGGAAUAUUCCUGGAGAAGCCAGGAAGAUGAAACGGGCAGCCUUUCAUCAAGGCAAGGGAUUACAUGUGCUCAAACAGAGGUGUAUUUGGGCACUAUCGAAAAGACUGAGGAAAGUAAUGGACUUGUCAGAGGAUUGGUUGAGACCAAUUACUGGAAAUCCGUUACUUCAAGCAUUUUGGUUUUUCCUCAAACACUAUUUGAAAUGUCUUUACUCGUGGUGGUUGAAGCAAUGGCUUGAGACUGGUCUUGAACAGAUUACUGUAACACUUAAGAGACUUUGUGAGUUAGCAACGCUGCACUGUCUUCAGGCUUCCAAGAUACCAUCAAAUGUAUUGUGUUUCUUUGAUGAUUUUUUGGCUGGGUUAACUUGUGACUUCUAAUGAAGGAAAUCGUUGAUGAAUGGUUCUAAAUAAAAGCCAAGGUAAUGGGGUGGAAAUUUAAUAA
rnacentral:lncRNA from 1 species